rnacentral:rRNA from 1 species
AUAGUCUAUUGGUAGCCGUACUGGAAACCGACACAGGUGGACAAGUAGAGAAUACUAAAGCGUUGAGACAACUCGGGUGAAGGAACUAGGCAAAAUAGCACCGUAACUUCGGGAGAAGGUGCGCCAAUUGUAGUUGUAGGCAUUUACUGUCGAAGGCGAGAUUGGUCGAAGAUACCAGGUGGUUGCGACUGUUUACUAAAAACACAGCACUCUGCAAACACGAAAGUGGAAGUAUAGGGUGUGACUCCUGCCCGGUGCUGGAAGGUUAAUUGAAGGGGUUAGCUCACCUUCAGAUAAUUUUUAAGAUACGAGGCAUCGCGAGUGAGC